rnacentral:rRNA from 1 species
GUAGUUAGCCGGGGCUUUCUUACAGGGUACCGUCACUUCUUCGUCCCCUGCGACAGAGGUUUACAAUCCGAAAACCUUCUUCCCUCACGCGGCGUUGCUGGGUCAGGCUUGCGCCCAUUGCCCAAUAUUCCCCACUGCUGCCUCCCGUAGGAGUCUGGACCGUGUCUCAGUUCCAGUGUGGCCGAUCAGCCUCUCAGCUCGGCUACCCAUCGUCGGCUUGGUGGGCUGUUAUCUCACCAACUACCUAAUGGGACGCGAACCCCUCUAAAAGCGAUAAAUCUUUGACCUCUUCCCGAUGCCGGGUUGUGGUCUUAUGCGGUAUUAGCAGUUGUUUCCACCUGUUAUUCCCCACUCUUAGGCAGGUUGUUCACGCGUUACUCACCCGUGCGCCACUAGAAUUAUCAAUUCCAUCCGAAAACUUCCUUAAUAAUCCCCGUUCGACUUGCAUGUGUUAGGCACGCCGCCAGCGUUCGUCCUGAGCCAGAAUCAAACUACUGA